AAUUAGAGACACCUUGACUGAAAAUAUUUAAUUUGAUAUCCAUUAGUAAUACAUAAGGCCCAUUAUGAUCGAUACACAUUUUCUCCAUAUUAAUGGUGGGGAGAUUUAUCUGCAUAUAUGCUUUCCUUGAAGCUAACUUAAAGUGGUGCUGCGGGUGUGGGUUUCUUGGUUCGCGACUGCGAGAGCAAGGUGGUCGCGGCGGCAGCCCGCCGAGUUGGACGUACAGAAACUCUUUUGAUGGGAGAACUUCAUGCUUUACUGCUGGGUAUUUGGAUUUUGUUUGACAAACGAUCUUAGGCCGUUGGUGAUUUAUUCGGAUUUUAUUUUAGCGGUGCAUGUUGUGAGUGAUGAUUACAAAGGCACGAACUCGCUUUGUGAUGAGAUGUUUGAAGCUUUCGCUCAUGCUAAAGAGCAUACUGUUUUAGAUUUUCGGCAUGUUCGCUGUUUUAGAUUUUCGGCAUGUUCGCCGUGAGGCAAAUAGAGCCGCCUAUUGUUUAG